GGAAAACUCUGCAAAAAACGCUUGAGGGGUGACAUGAUGUUCUGGGUACACGCGCGAAUACGCUGUUGACAGCGAAACCGCUGGAGUCGGGACAGGAAGCUUUUACUUGGAGAGUACUGUGGAGUCCAAGAACUGAUAUGGACUGGAGAGAAUGGCUGGGGUAGUACGGGUGAGAGACGGCGGAAAUAAAAAGGGGCCAGACUUCAGAGUGAGAGAGGGAGAACCCAGCUGACAACAUUCGUGUGUGCUGGCCACUGCCUUUUCAAUGAUCAACCUGUUGAGUGAUUUGUCUGAACCUACACCAUUGUGCACUCAAGCGAACAUGUUUUUGUUAAUAAUAAAUGUACCUUUGUGUUGGA